AUACGGAGGGUGCAAGCGUUGUUCGGAAUUAUUGGGCGUAAAGAGCAUGUAGGCGGACUGUUAAGUCUGGUGUGAAAGCCCGGGGCUCAACCCCGGAAGUGCAUUGGAUACUGGCAGUCUUGAGUAUGUGAGAGGAAAGUGGAAUUCCGAGUGUAGGAGUGAAAUCCGUAGAUAUUCGGAGGAACACCAGUGGCGAAGGCGGCUUUCUGGACCAAUACUGACGCUGAGAUGCGAAAGCGUGGGGAGCGAACAGAAUUAGAUACCCCAGUAGUCC
rnacentral:rRNA from 1 species